ACAAUUGUGAAUAACAGAAGGGGGCUUGUAAUUGCAACCGGACCAGAGGAAAAUGGCUUCCUUUGGACAAAAAGGCCAACUUUAAGUUAAUUUGUUUCUUUUAAUAUAUUGCUUGAGCUAAGUGGGCUACUUUAUCUGUUAAAUGCGCUCCUAGCGCCAUCGUUAAACAGCCGAUGCCUUUGAAUCCCAGCCGGGACUGGAGUCCCGCCGCAACACAUGGCUUUUAUAAAAAUCUCCGGAUUACCCCGCUAUCAAAGGCUCCUGAAGUCCUUGUAGGGGGAAUUUACAGGCGCCCACCUCCGGCUCCCCAGCCUGGAGCUGGCCUCUAGCGGGGAUCGUGCUGUUGAGUUUGGGAGCUGAGAAGGGAAAAAAGGAAAAAAGGGGAGUUGUAUUUUUUUUUCUGCAGGCAUGCUUUGGCCGGUGGGUAUUUCACGGCCAAUUUCAGCACUCGCCACGUGAUCCCUCCUUUUAUAACAAAGUUUUGUUGGGGGAAACCUAAAGGCCCUUCAUAAACCUUAUAUGCUUAUAAAACAGCAUAUAAAAAUUUAACAGCGGUGCUGCGCUAGAUUCCCAACUCCCCUUUCAUAAAGCGCUGGGCGCUGCCUUUAUACGCACCGGAGCCACCGGCCUUGUCCUCAGUGUGGCCGGAAGACGACUCGGGGCUGCUGCUGCUCUCGGGUCGCCGCCGUCGCUCCUUCUCCUCGGCCGCCGCCUCCUGACAGCCGCCGCCGCCGCCGCCGCCGCCGUCCGAACUUGAAGUUGCCGGCGCGCCCGUGGCCGCCGCCGCCACCGCCGCAGCGGAGGUCGCAGAUGCUGCUUGGGGCCCCUUCUCGGCGUUCUUGUCCCCGGGGUAGUCGGAGGAAGCGAGGUUUUCCGGGGUGCCGUAAGCCGUCUCGAAAAACUGGUCGAAAGCCUGUGGCAGAACGCCGUUCCUGCCCACCGUGCUAUAGAAAUUGGACGAGACGGCGGGGGUGGGGUGGUGGUAGACGUUGGCCGAGCUUUUGGCCAGCACGUCGCCAGGCACGCCGGCCGCGCUGGGCGCCUGCAGACAGUCUCUGUGCACGAGCUCCUCCGCGGAGUAGCAGUGGGCCAGAUUGCCGCGGGGGUGCCAUUUAGUGGCGGGCUCAAUGGCGUACUCUCUGAAGGUCACUUCGCGCACGGGUUGGACCUGGGGCAGGUUGGAGGAGUAGGAGUAUGUCAUUGGGCGCGAAGACGGGGUCUGGGGCAAAAAAGAAGGGAGGCUGGAGAAAUCUGGACCCGAGACGUAGGGUUCGGAGUGACUCCUCAGAGCCAGAGGCACUUCUGCUCACCGGUCCGCAAGCUGCCUGGUCUGCUGAAGCUGACGAAUCGGGAAACCAUGCAAUUGAGGCGAACCUUGGGCUGUUUUAGAGGCGCUGAGGAGCCUUCUCCUGGGAGGCCCAAGGUUGAUUUCAGCCCACCAGGAUCUGGGGAAGACCCAGCUAGGGAUAAGAGCACACCAAAAGGCCAAGUCCGAGUUCCAUUCCUAGAAGAGGCGGCUGCAGACAAGGCUAUGACAUUGGCCCUGGACAUUGGUUUCCCAGGAGCUGCUUUUUCUCAAGAACUCCACAGCACGGGGCUGUCUCCAGAAAACGCUCUUCAACGUUUAUUUCUUUUAAUCGUCGCCCGGAGCCCUAAGGCGGCUAAUGCAAGAGGCCAAAAAUGUUUGGAGGAAGAAAAACAAAGGCAGGAAGUGGCCGCGGCCUGACGGUGCGUGUGUGUCUGUAAAAGAGGGAGGGAGCCGGUUCAACCUCCCCUCGUUUUCCCGAACUUCAAGGUCUAGGCAGACCCCCUUAGGGCCUUGCCAAGGCUCCCCCCACACUCCCCCCCCCCCCGGCGGCGCAACGUUUGGAGGUGGCCAACGAUUUAAGCCUCGGUCGGGCUGAAAGGAGAUUUGAUCGGCAGAACAAACCAACCCUUUUCGGAGGUUUCUUUUGAUUUGGUCCUAAAGGGUAUAUACUAGUGCCCACAGCGGCUGGGGGUGGCUGCUGUUUUCCUCCCGCCGGGCUAAAAGUACCAAGAAGGGAGGGAGGGAGAGAGAUUCAGGCACCUUGCGCUGGCUGCACUCUCCUUCUGAGAUAGAAUAUCAGAAUAAAGUGUAUUCAGGUGCCU
ensembl:processed_transcript Hoxa11os uncharacterized LOC110296820